CAAGCCUGAUCCAGCCAUGCCGCGUGGGUGCUGAAGGCCUUAGGGUUGUAAAGCCCCUUCGGCGGGGAAGAUAAUGACGGUACCCGCAGAAGAAGCCCCGGCUAACUUCGUGCCAGCAGCCGCGGUAAUACGAGGGGGGCUAGCGUUGCUCGGACUUACUGGGCGUAAAGCGCACGUAGGCGGCUGGUUAAGUCGGGGGUGAAAUCCCGGAGCUCAACUCCGGAACUGCCUUCGAUACUGGCAAGCUCGAGUCCGGGAGAGGUGAGGGGAACUGCGAGUGUAGAGGGGAAAUUCGUAGAUAUUCGCAAGAACACCCGUGGCGAAGGCGGCUCACUGGCCCGGUACGGACGCUGAGGUGCGAAAGC
rnacentral:rRNA from 1 species